rnacentral:rRNA from 1 species
CGCUAGCGAUAGUUUAUUUAAAUUUCUACCCUAUUAACUUUUAAUAGUAAGGUAUUAGCUUACUAUAGUUUCUAUAGGUAAUAGGGAAUUAGGGUUUAAUUCUAGAAAGUUAGCCUAAGAAAUAGCUAAUAUAUCUAAGGAAGAUAGCAGGCGCGUAAAUUACCUAAUCCUAAUAUAGGGAGGUAGUAAUAAUAAAUACUAAUAUAAGGCUCUUUUAGGUCUUAUAAUUAGAAUAAGUAUAAUUUAAACCUCUUAAUAAGGAAUAAUUAGAGGGUAAGUCUAGUACUAGUAGCUAUAGUAAUUCUAACUCUAAUAGCGUAUAUUAAAGUUAUUAUAGUUAAAAAGCUUAUAGUUAAACCUUUAGCCUAGCUAGUAGGUCUACUUUACUAUAUAUACUUAUCUAGCUAGGCCUUUUCUUCUAGAGAACUAUAUACCCUUUACUAGGUAUGUUAGCGACUAGGACUUUUACUUUAAAAAAAUUAGAGUGUUUAAAGCAAGCCUUUACUUAAAUAUUAUAGUAUAGAAUAAUAAAAUAGGACGUAUAGUUCUAUUUUAUUAGUUUCUAGGACUACUAUAAUAAUUAAUAGGGAUAGUUAGAAGUAUUAGUAUUUAACUAUUAGAGGUAAAAUUCUUAGAUUUAUUAAAGACUAACUACUAUAAAAGUAUUUGCUAAGGAUAUUUUUAUUAAUUAGUAAAUAGAAGUUAGGGGAUUAAAGAUAAUUAGAUACUAUUAUAGUCUUAACUAUAAACUAUACUAACUAGGGAUUAGGUAAUAUUAUUAUUUUAACUUACUUAGUACUUUAUAAAAAAUUAAAGUAUUUAGGUUCUAGGGGGAGUAUAGUUAUAAGGCUAAAACUUAAAGAAAUUAAUAAAAGGGUACUACUAGGCGUAGAGCCUAUAGCUUAAUUUAACUUAAUAUAGGGAAACUUACUAGGUCUAGAUAAAAUAAGAAUUAAUAGAUUAAAAGCUUUUUCUUAAUUUUUUAGGUAGUAGUAUAUAGCUAUUCUUAGUUAGUAGAGUAAUUUAUCUACUUAAUUAUAAUAAUAAAUAAGACCUUAACCUACUAAAUAGCUAGGCUAGCUUUAGCUAGUUGCUAGCUUCUUAGAGGGAUUAUUAGCUUAAGCUAAUAGAAGUUUAAGGUAAUAAUAAGUCUAUAAUACCCUUAGAUAUUCUAGGCUACACACGCGCUAUACUAAUAGAGCUAAGAGUUUUUUUCCUUAUCUAAAAGGUUUAGGUAAUCUUAUUAAACUCUAUUAUGCUAGGGAUAGAGUAUUAUAAUUAUUACUCUUUAAUAAAGAAUACCUAGUAAGUGUGUGUUAUUAGUAUAUAUUAAUUACGUCCCUACUCUUUAUAUAUACUAUCUAUUACUACUACUAAUUAAAUAGCUUAGUAAGGCUAUUAGACUAGCCUAUAGAGGUUAGUAAUAACUACUAUAAGCUAGAAAGUUAUAUAAACUUAGUUAUUUAGAGGAAGUAAAAGUUAUAAUAAAGUUUCUAUAGGUAAACCUAUAGAAG